rnacentral:rRNA from 1 species
GUGGGGAAUUUGGACAAUGGGCGCAAGCCUGAUCCAGCAAUGCCGCGUGUGUGAAGAAGGCCUUCGGGUUGUAAAGCACUUUUGGCAGGAAAGAAAUAGCGCGUGCUAAUACCAUGCGCGAAUGACGGUACCUGCAGAAUAAGCACCGGCUAACUACGUGCCAGCAGCCGCGGUAAGACGUAGGGUGCAAGCGUUAAUCGGAAUUACUGGGCGUAAAGCGUGCGCAGGCGGUUUUGUAAGACAGGUGUGAAAUCCCCGGGCUCAACCUGGGAACUGCACUUGUGACUGCAAGGCUAGAGUGUGUCAGAGGGAGGUGGAAUUCCGCGUGUAGCAGUGAAAUGCGUGGAGAUGCGGAGGAACACCGAUGGCGAAGGCAGCCUCCUGGGAUAACACUGACGCUCAGGCACGAAAGCGUGGGGAGCAAACAGGAUUAGAAACCCGGGUAGUCC